CCCUUAGAUGUUCUGGGCUGCACGCGCGCUACACUGGUGCGUUCAGCGAGUUUAGCACCUUAACAGAUAUGUUUGGGUAAUCUUCUGAAAACGCACCGUGAUGGGGAUCGAUUAUUGUAAUUAUUAAUCGUCAACGAGGAAUUCCUAGUAAGUGUGAAUCAUCAGUUCGCGCUGAUUACGUCCCUGCCCUUUGUACACACCGCCCGUCGCUGCUACCGAUUGAAUGCUCAGGUGAGCCAUUCGGACUUUCAUCAUGCUGGUUUCCAGUUUUGAUGAAGGAAAGUCUUGCGAACCUUAUCAUUUAGAGGAAGGAGAAGUCGUAACA
rnacentral:rRNA from 1 species